GUGAACAGGCAUGUCUGCUGCAGAUAUACUGUACAGCGGUGAUGGGUUUAUUAUUUGUUUGCGUGGGACUGCAGUGUUUCUUUUUUACAGUUCUACAGUUCUAUCUCUGACUUUGGAUUUGUAUUAUUAUUGUUCAGACUUAAAUAUUAAGGUGCCUCAUGACUGGAACAGUUCUGUGGAUAUCUGGUUUACAGUACAGUGAUCUACACCUGGCUGCCUGGAGCUCCUCAUCCACCCUGCACAUGGAUUUAGAGCCAGCAGAGGAAACUAGAAGUGGACCAAAACCCUAAAAUUUCAUGAACGAAGAAACUCACAUUUUAUUGUUAUGCUGAGUCUAAAUAUGUGAAGAAUUAUUCUUCUGGAAACAAGCUGAAAUAUACAGCGAUGAUAGAAAAGUUUAAGUAAAGCCACUACAUGUUUAAUCAUGUAUUUAUGGUUGAAUCAAAAUCAUGUAAAGGUUGAAUCAAUGUUGAAUUAUUGUCAAUUAUAUGCUAAUAAAAAACUAA